rnacentral:rRNA from 1 species
AUGUCUUUUUUCCUCCAGUUCGUUGUUUGUUUUCUAUCCAUUGUUGAUAACACCAAACUUGUUACUGAGGUUUUAAUUGAAGAGCUGAUAAAGCAGUUAAAGGAACUCAUAUUUGACAAGGUUGCAUCUGAUAGCAUGAAGGACCCGAUUAAAUGGCGGCAAGAACUGUUGGUGAAAAGAGAGCUUUGUGAGGUUCUCAUUGAGACUUGCAUUGAAAAUGUUGUAGAGUUAGUUCGAACAAACUUUGGUGAAGAUGUAUUAUAUGAAGUGAUCUCCUUAGUCCAUGGUCUAUGCUUCUACCUGUACUUCUAUAACCGGUUUCUAUUGGUGCACAAGAAAGCAUGGCUGAAAUGCAGCCUAUUAACACUAGAGGGUCAUGGUCUAAGUCAAGGACUACUACGAUCGCGAGCCCACGAUGGCGCUGAUGAGCAGCUGAUUAAGCAGGUGAUGAUGACGGCGCGGGUCUGCUCAGUGGGGGCAGCAGACGGUGCUGGCCGUAAUAAGAGUUAUCUGUAA